GGGCGGGUAGCUCAGUUGGUUAGAGCACAUCGUUGACAUCGAUGAGGUCGUAGGUUCGAGCCCUAUCUCGCCCA
rnacentral:tRNA from 2 species